GCCGGGCGUGGUGGCGCGCACCUGUAGUCCCAGCUACUCGGAGGCUGAGGCGGGAGAAUGGCGUGAACCCGGGAGGUGGAGCUUGCAGUGAGCCGAGAUCGCGCCACUGCACUCCAGUUUUAAGACUGCACUCAAAUUUUGAGACGGAGUCUCGCUCUGUCGCCCAGGCUGGAGUGCAGUGGCGCGAUCUCGGCUCACUGCAACCUCCGCCUCCUGGGUUCAAGCAAUUCUCCUGCCUCAG
ensembl:misc_RNA Metazoa_SRP Metazoan signal recognition particle RNA